rnacentral:lncRNA from 1 species
UGAAGAGCACCCUGCUUAUGCAAAACUAUUUAAAAAUAUGCUACCACUAAGCAAAGGGAGGGGCAUUUUUGGUUGUACAUCCACAUUAGUUGCCAGCUUCCUACACUAUCUCAACAAGUUCAUUACAUUUGACAAUAUUUUCAACAAUUUUUCUACAUGUGCUAUAUUUGAUUCAAGGAACAGAUAGAACAAUAUAGACCAGGCAAAAACCACAAAGCUUGAAAUACAGAAUCUUGAGAAUUCAAUAUGCUGCACAACUCUAUCCAUAACUAAUAAACAAUGCUCUAACCCUCUCUAAUUUCUAAUGAUCAGUGGCAGAAGAAUAAAUUACAUCAUAAGCUGUUAAAGUAGAAUAAAUCUAUUUUACAAACUGCAUAAGAUUAACUGCCCUUCUCAGUUGGGGGUUUAUAAGCCCUGCUCCACCAUUUACCCUCUCAGCCGAGGUUUUGAAAGUUGUGCUCGCUCCAUGCACUCCAAACAAAACUUCCUUGGAUAUUCAAAGCAACAUGCUGAAAAUGUAUAGCAUUUGAAUAAAUAAUCUGUGGUUGAUAUUUCAGGGAUCAGUUUUUUCCUUCUGCUGUUACGAAUCUAAUUCCAUAGCCAUUCAUAACUUAAUUCCAUGAUCGACCGCCACCUAAACCCCUUCCACGAUCACGGAAGCCACCCUGACCUAUAUGACAACAAGUAGAAAUUCAGUUAGACAAUAUGAUGGUGUCAUAACAAAAAAAAAAAUGGAUACACAAUAAUGAAACAACACAAACCGACAAUGCCUACUACCCUCUAUAGGAUUGCUCAUCUAAUUAUUUUCAGAUGUUGAAUUUUGAUCGUAAUAUGACUAGGAUAUAUUCUUACAUAUUAAACAAAAACAAUAUAUAGCAUCAUUACGCGCAAGAUUCUCACCAAAUUACAAGAGCUAACCUGUUGGUGGAGGGGGGAUACCUCGUCCCAUUUUCGCCAAUUCAGGAUUGACCUUUUGUCUAGAGAAAUUUCUAGUGACUAUGAGUGUAGUGAGGUGAUCAGAUUAUAGUUGGAAUAUGUCAAACUAUCUACUUGUUUUGAGGUGAUGGAAGACUACUUCGGGUUUUUAAGGGUUUAAAUUUAGUCGAAUAUAUGCUAUUAUGUAGGUAGUUUUGGGACAUAUUUAGGUAUUGUGAAAUUGGGAUUAUUAUUAUUAUUGUGUUUUGUUUUAUAAUUGUUGAUGAUAUUUGGAUGUUAGGUAUUGUGAAAUUGGGAUUGUUAUUAUAAUUGUUUUAGUUAACCUCUAUUUUAUUAUCGAUCUUGAACUGGUAUAUGUGGACUAUGGAUAACACUGCAUAAUUUGUAUAAAAUUUAGUAGGGGCUCCUUUUAACGUAAUUGUGUAGUUUAUUGUUUUUGUAUAUGGAAAUUCUAUUCUAUUCAAAAAAAAAAAAAAAAAAAAAAAAAAAAAUAGAAAUUGUGAGUUGCUCGAGGUACUGUACUGUCCUGUUCCUAUAGAUUACUGUCUUUGUAUGUGAAUUUGUGUAAUAUGUUUGAUUGUGUAGGUUGUCAUUUAUUACAUUUGCUAAGUAAUUACAAUGCCCUCUUGGUAUGUUUCAGGUUGUUAAGUAGGAACUGCUUGCUUUUCUGAGACCUUUGGUUAGCAGCUAGUAUUGAAGGAAAGGUCACAUUGCAAGAGAAGCACCACUAAUACUAGGUAUACUUAUCUAUGCUUCUUAUACUAAUAGUCUAUUACCAUGAAUUUUAAUCAUCCAUAGUUUCUCUUCUGCUACAUGUAAGAUUCAAAAUUGAAGGUGAAAUCUUUUUGAGGUUUUGAUAUAUCCCCAUUGUUGACCAUAGAACAAGUAGACAUAUUCAACUGAGUGGUAGAUGAACUUAUCUUCUUUAGAGAUUGAUUUAGUGCUAUAUUCUUCAAGAAAAAACUUGAAUCAUUUGAUAGCCAAGUAGAAAAAAGAUUAGAGCCAGACACAACUCGAAUCUGACUGUACAUCGUGAGUGAUAUUAUUAAGAAGAGAAAUGGUGACUAACUGACUACUGGGGGUAGGCAUCCAUUGUUUCCA